rnacentral:rRNA from 1 species
GACGAACGCUGGCGGCGUGCUUAACACAUGCAAGUCGAACGGAAAGGCCCUGCUUUUGUGGGGUGCUCGAGUGGCGAACGGGUGAGUAACACGUGAGUAAACUGCCCUUGACUUUGGGAUAACUUCAGGAAACUGGGGCUAAUACCGGAUAGGAGCUCCUGCUGCAUGGUGGGGGUUGGAAAGUUUCGGCGGUUGGGGAUGGACUCGCGGCUUAUCAGCUUGUUGGUGGGGUAGUGGCUUACCAAGGCUUUGACGGGUAGCCGGCCUGAGAGGGUGACCGGCGACCAUGGGACUGAGAUACGGCCCAGACUCGUACGGGAGGCAGCAGUGGGGAAUAUGGCACAGUGGGCGGGAGUCUGAUGCAGCGACGCCGCGUGCGGGAUGACGGCCUUCGGGUUGUAAACCGCUUUCGCCUGUGACGAAGCGUGAGUGACGGUAAUGGGUAAAGAAGCACCGGCUAACUACGUG